rnacentral:snRNA from 1 species
AGUGACCAAAAUCGCACCCAAA